rnacentral:rRNA from 1 species
GGCUCAGAUUGAACGCUGGCGGCAGGCCUAACACAUGCAAGUCGAGCGCGAAAGGCCUUCGGGCUGAGUAGAGCGGCGGACGGGUGAGUAACGCGUAGGAAUCUACCUGGUAGUGGGGGACAACUUGGGGAAACUCAAGCUAAUACCGCAUACGCCCUAUGGGGGAAAUGGGGGGGCCUUCGGGCCUCACGCUAUCAGAUGAGCCUGCGUAGGAUUAGCUAGUUGGUGAGGUAAAGGCUCACCAAGGCGACGAUCCUUAGCUGGUCUGAGAGGAUGAUCAGCCACACUGGGACUGAGACACGGCCCAGACUCCUACGGGAGGCAGCAGUGGGGAAUAUUGGACAAUGGGCGAAAGCCUGAUCCAGCAAUGCCGCGUGUGUGAAGAAGGCCUGAGGGUUGUAAAGCACUUUCAAUCGUGAAGAAAAGUUGCAGGCUAAUACCCUGUGACCUUGACGUUAACGAUACAAGAAGCACCGGCUAACUCCGUG